rnacentral:tRNA from 1 species
GCGGAUGUGGCGGAACUGGUAGACGCGCUGGAUUUAGGUUCCAGUGGGGCAACCCGUGGAGGUUCGAGUCCUCUCAUCCGCACCA